rnacentral:rRNA from 1 species
AGAGUUUGAUCCUGGCUCAGGACGAACGCUGGCGGCGUGCUUAACACAUGCAAGUCGAACGGAAAGGCCCACCACUUUUUGGUGGUGGGUACUCGAGUGGCGAACGGGUGAGUAACACGUGGGUGAUCUGCCCCGCACUGUGGGAUAAGCCUGGGAAACUGGGUCUAAUACCACAUACGACCAUGGCGUAGGGGUCAUGGUGGAAAGCUUUUGCGGUGUGGGAUGAGCCCGCGGCCUAUCAGCUUGUUGGUGGGGUAAUGGCCUACCAAGGCGGCGACGGGUAGCCGGCCUGAGAGGGUGGACGGCCACAUUGGGACUGAGACACGGCCCAGACUCCUACGGGAGGCAGCAGUGGGGAAUAUUGCACAAUGGGCGCAAGCCUGAUGCAGCGACGCCGCGUGGGGGAUGACGGCCUUCGGGUUGUAAACUCCUUUCGCCCGGGACGAAGCCCACCUGGUGGGUGACGGUACCGUGGAGAAGAAGCACCGGCUAACUACGUGCCAGCAGCCGCGGUAAUACGUAGGGUGCAAGCGUUGUCCGGAUUUACUGGGCGUAAAGAGCUCGUAGGUGGUGUGUCGCGUCGUCUGUGAAAUUCCGGGGCUUAACUCCGGGCGUGCAGGCGAUACGGGCACGACUAGAGUGCUGUAGGGGUAACUGGAAUUCCUGGUGUAGCGGUGAAAUGCGCAGAUAUCAGGAGGAACACCGAUGGCGAAGGCAGGUUACUGGGCAGUUACUGACGCUGAGGAGCGAAAGCAUGGGGAGCGAACAGGAUUAGAUACCCUGGUAGUCCAUGCUGUAAACGGUGGGCGCUAGGUGUGGGCUGUGUGUUUGCAGUCUGUGCCGUAGCUAACGCAUUAAGCGCCCCGCCUGGGGAGUACGGCCGCAAGGCUAAAACUCAAAGGAAUUGACGGGGGC